rnacentral:rRNA from 1 species
GGUUAAGCGACUAAGCGUACACGGUGGAUGCCCUGGCAGUCAGAGGCGAUGAAGGACGUGCUAAUCUGCGAAAAGCGUCGGUAAGGUGAUAUGAACCGUUAUAGCCGGCGAUGUCCGAAUGGGGAAACCCAGUGCAAUUCGUUGCACUAUCGUUAACUGAAUACAUAGGUUAACGAGGCGAACCGGGGGAACUGAAACAUCUAAGUACCCCGAGGAAAAGAAAUCAACCGAGAUUCCCCCAGUAGCGGCGAGCGAACGGGGAGCAGCCCGGAGUCUGAAUCAGCUUGUGUGUUAGUGGAAGCGUCUGGAAAGUCGCAGGGUACAGGGUGAUACUCCCGUACACUAAAACACACAGGUUGUGAACUCGAAGAGUAGGGCGGGACACGUGGUAUCCUGUCUGAAUAUGGGGGGACCAUCCUCCAAGGCUAAAUACUCCUGACUGACCGAUAGUGAACCAGUACCGUGAGGGAAAGGCGAAAAGAACCCCGGCGAGGGGAGUGAAAAAGAACCUGAAACCGUGUACGUACAAGCAGUAGGAGCCCACUUGUUGGGUGACUGCGUACCUUUUGUAUAAUGGGUCAGCGACUUAUAUUCUGUAGCAAGGUUAACCGUAUAGGGGAGCCGCAGGGAAACCGAGUCUUAACUGGGCGUUAAGUUGCAGGGUAUAGACCCGAAACCCGGUGAUCUAGCCAUGGGCAGGUUGAAGGUUGGGUAACACUAACUGGAGGACCGAACCGACUAAUGUUGAAAAAUUAGCGGAUGACUUGUGGCUGGGGGUGAAAGGCCAAUCAAACCGGGAGAUAGCUGGUUCUCCCCGAAAGCUAUUUAGGUAGCGCCUCGUGAAUUCAUCUUCGGGGGUAGAGCACUGUUUCGGCUAGGGGGUCAUCCCGACUUACCAACCCGAUGCAAACUACGAAUACCGAAGAAUGUUAUCACGGGAGACACACGGCGGGUGCUAACGUCCGUCGUGAAGAGGGAAACAACCCAGACCGCCAGCUAAGGUCCCAAAGUCAUGGUUAAGUGGGAAACGAUGUGGGAAGGCCCAGACAGCCAGGAUGUUGGCUUAGAAGCAGCCAUCAUUUAAAGAAAGCGUAAUAGCUCACUGGUCGAGUCGGCCUGCGCGGAAGAUGUAACGGGGCUAAACCAUGCACCGAAGCUGCGGCAGCGACACUAUGUGUUGUUGGGUAGGGGAGCGUUCUGUAAGCCGUUGAAGGUGGCCUGUGAGGGUUGCUGGAGGUAUCAGAAGUGCGAAUGCUGACAUAAGUAACGAUAAUGCGGGUGAAAAACCCGCACGCCGGAAGACCAAGGGUUCCUGUCCAACGUUAAUCGGGGCAGGGUGAGUCGACCCCUAAGGCGAGGCCGAAAGGCGUAGUCGAUGGGAAACAGGUUAAUAUUCCUGUACUCGGUGUUACUGCGAAGGGGGGACGGAGAAGGCUAUGUUGGCCGGGCGACGGUUGUCCCGGUUUAAGCAUGUAGGCGGAUGUUCCAGGUAAAUCCGGAACGUCACUAACGCUGAGGUGUGAUGACGAGGCACUACGGUGCUGAAGUGACAAAUGCCCUGCUUCCAGGAAAAGCCUCUAAGCAUCAGGUAACAUCAAAUCGUACCCCAAACCGACACAGGUGGUCAGGUAGAGAAUACCAAGGCGCUUGAGAGAACUCGGGUGAAGGAACUAGGCAAAAUGGUGCCGUAACUUCGGGAGAAGGCACGCUGAUGGUAGGUGAAGCGACUUGCUCGUGGAGCUGAAAUCAGUCGAAGAUACCAGCUGGCUGCAACUGUUUAUUAAAAACACAGCACUGUGCAAACACGAAAGUGGACGUAUACGGUGUGACGCCUGCCCGGUGCCGGAAGGUUAAUUGAUGGGGUUAUCCGUAAGGAGAAGCUCUUGAUCGAAGCCCCGGUAAACGGCGGCCGUAACUAUAACGGUCCUAAGGUAGCGAAAUUCCUUGUCGGGUAAGUUCCGACCUGCACGAAUGGCGUAAUGAUGGCCAGGCUGUCUCCACCCGAGACUCAGUGAAAUUGAACUCGCUGUGAAGAUGCAGUGUACCCGCGGCAAGACGGAAAGACCCCGUGAACCUUUACUAUAGCUUGACACUGAACACUGGUCCUUGAUGUGUAGGAUAGGUGGGAGGCUUUGAAGUGUGGACGCCAGUCUGCAUGGAGCCAUCCUUGAAAUACCACCCUUUAAUGGCUGGUGUUCUAACGUGGGCCCCUAAUCGGGGUUGCGGACAGUGUCUGGUGGGUAGUUUGACUGGGGCGGUCUCCUCCUAAAGAGUAACGGAGGAGCACGAAGGUCAGCUAAUCCUGGUCGGACAUCAGGAGGUUAGUGCAAUGGCAUAAGCUGGCUUGACUGCGAGCGUGACGGCGCGAGCAGGUGCGAAAGCAGGUCAUAGUGAUCCGGUGGUUCUGAAUGGAAGGGCCAUCGCUCAACGGAUAAAAGGUACUCCGGGGAUAACAGGCUGAUACCGCCCAAGAGUUCAUAUCGACGGCGGUGUUUGGCACCUCGAUGUCGGCUCAUCACAUCCUGGGGCUGAAGUAGGUCCCAAGGGUAUGGCUGUUCGCCAUUUAAAGUGGUACGCGAGCUGGGUUUAGAACGUCGUGAGACAGUUCGGUCCCUAUCUGCCGUGGGCGCUGGAGAAUUGAGGGGGGCUGCUCCUAGUACGAGAGGACCGGAGUGGACGCAUCACUGGUGUUCGGGUUGUCAUGCCAAUGGCAUUGCCCGGUAGCUAAAUGCGGAAGAGAUAAGUGCUGAAAGCAUCUAAGUACGAAACUUGCCCCGAGAUGAGUUCUCCCUGACUCCUUGAGAGUCCUGAAGGAACGUUGAAGACGACGACGUUGAUAGGCCGGGUGUGUAAGCGCAGCGAUGCGUUGAGCUAACCGGUACUAAUGAACCGUGAGGCUUAACCUU